rnacentral:rRNA from 1 species
UACGAAGGGGGCGAGCGUUGUUCGGAUUUACUGGGCGUAAAGGGCGCGCAGGCGGCUCAUUUUGUCAGGCGUGAAAGCCCCGGGCUUAACCUGGGAACUGCGUUUGAUACGGGUGGGCUAGAGUUCGGGAGAGGAGAGUGGAAUUCCCAGUGUAGAGGUGAAAUUCGUAGAUAUUGGGAAGAACACCGGUGGCGAAGGCGGCUCUCUGGACCGAUACUGACGCUGAGGCGCGAAAGCGUGGGGAGCAAACAGG